GAGUUUGAUUCAUGGCUCAGGAUGAACGCUGGCUGCAGGCUUAACACAUGCAAGUCGUGGGGAAACGGCAUUAUGUGCUUGCACAUUCGGGACCUACACCGGCGCACGGGAGAGUAUCGCGUAUCCAACCUGCCCCUUACUUGGAGAUCACCCCCUUGAAACACAGCCUAAUACCCUAUGUGUUUCAUUGACCGCCUCAUAUAUAAAACAAAUGUUUUCCGGUAAGGGAUGGGGAUCCUUCUAAUUACCUGUUUGGCGGGGCAACGGCCCACCAAGGCAACAAUCAUUAGGGGUUCUAAAAGGAAGGUCCCCCACAUUGAAACUAAAACACGGUCCAAACUCCUACGGAAGGCACCAUUGAGGAAUAUUGGUCAAUGGACACAAUUCUAAACCACCCAAUUACCUUGCAGGAUAACGGCCCUAUGGGUUGUAAACUGCUUUUAUGUGGGAAUAAAUUGGCGCACUUGUGCUCCAUUGCAUGUACCUCAUGAAUAAGGACCGGCUAAUUCCUUGCCACCACCCCCGGUAAUACGGAAGGUCCGGGCGUUAUCCGAAUUUAUUGGGUUUAAAGGAACUGUAGGCGGUCAGUUAACCUUGUUGUGAAAUUUAAGUGCUCAACAUUUAACUUGCACCCCGAACUGUCAGACUAGAGUACACCCACCGCAGGCGGAAUUCUUGGUGUAGCGGUGAAAUGCUUAAAUAUCAUGAGAGAACUCGAGAUCGCAAAGGCAGCGUGCGGGCGUGUUACUGACGCUUAACCUCGAAGGUGCGGGUAUCGAACAGGAUUAGAUCACCUUGGUAUGUCCGCACAGUAAACGAUGGAUGCCCGCCGCUUGGCGCCCUGCGCCUGCGGCCAAGCGAAAGCAUUAAGCAUCCCACCUGGGGAGUACGCCGGCAACGGUGAAACUCAAAGGAAUUGACGGGGGCCCGCACAAGCGGAGGAACAUGUGGUUUAAUUUGAUGAUACGCGAGGAACCUUACCCGGGCUUGAAUUGCAGUCGCUGCCCACCGAGACGUGGGCUUCCCUUCGGGGCGUCUGUGAAGGUGCUGCAUGGUUGUCGUCAGCUCGUGCCGUGAGGUGUCGGCUUAAGUGCCAUAACGAGCGCAACCCCCUUUCCCAGUUGCCAUCGGGUGAUGCCGGGCACUCUGGGGACACUGCCACCGCAAGGUGCGAGGAAGGUGGGGAUGACGUCAAAUCAGCACGGCCCUUACGUCCGGGGCUACACACGUGUUACAAUGGCCGGUACAGAGGGUCGGUGCAAUGCAAGUGGCAUCCAAUCUUGAAAUCCGGUCCCAGUUCGGACUGGGGUCUGCAACCCGACCCCACGAAGCUGGAUUCGCUAGUAAUCACGCAUCAGCCAUGGCGCGGUGAAUACGUUCCCGGGCCUUGCACACACCGCCCGUC
rnacentral:rRNA from 1 species